CAGGCCCUGGCCCUCCCCCCUCCCCGGGAGGAGGGGAGUCCGGAGGGGGAGGAGAGACAGAAGAGGGGCUGCAGCCUUCCCAACACGAGCGCGGCACACUGAGGUCCGAAUGGCUGUCUAGAACUCACAGGAGCCUCCCGAGAGGUGGACGUGUGACCCAGGCCGCCCAGACCCUGAGAAGAGCCCCCAGGACGGAGGCAGCAGAGAGGAAGCUGGUGUGGCCUUUCUCGUCCACCUCCCCCCCCCCCCAACCCCCUCAACCCAGCACACCUGGGUGGACUCCAGCCUAAGUUCCACUGAUCUCAGGCAGUCAUACCCUCUCCCACCUUGUGCUUCUAAAGGUUAGUUUCUGGCAGCAGUUAGAGUGACUCCCUCUGUGUGAAGGACAGAGGUGGCGCCACCCCAGGGCUCCACACUGGGCACAGGGCACCCUUGUCAACAUCCAUCAUAAUGCAGGAUUUGACUAGGCCAGUCACACCAGCUCCCUGGGCCCCCAAAUCCUCAUCAGCAAACCCAGGGCAUGAAACCAGAACACUCCUGAGCCACCUCCGGGGCCCCCCAGUUGCCCCAUUCUGCGACUCUCCUCACCGCAUGGCACCGCUUCACCCUGCCCUCACCCAGGGGGAGUGGAUGGGUAACUGUGCCCUCUCCCCCCUAAUCCUCAGCUCCUCUCCUGGAUCCCACCCACAUCAAGGGGUCCCAGCAGUCGGGGGGCUCCCCUGGAAGUAACCCGAAGCUGACUCUCACCAUCAGAAUAGGUCUUCACAAUUUACUAUGCACUUGUCCACAUGUGUGACUUUGUUUCACCCUCUGCAAGGCAAGUAUCAUUAGCUCUACUUUAUAGACAAACAGUCUCGGGCCCCGUUGCCUGCUUAAAGUCACCUGGUGAGUCAGAGGCAGGGCUGCGUUUUGAACCCAGAUUUGCAUGGGGCUUGUGACCAGGGGAGGCCACCCCAGAAUCAAGCGGGGCCCCUGGGUCACCCUCCUCCUGAGGCUGCAGUGGGAACACCCAGGCACCUCCAUUUAGGGCUUGGCUCUGCAGAGCCCCAGCCUGGUGAUGUCAGCAUUGCCAUGGAAACUCCUUCCCAGCGUAGGCAGGACCAGCCUCCCCUUGCAGUUUCCCUUUGUGUGGACUUUGCAAUGUGUUGCCAAGGCAGUGGGGCCUGCUGGGCGGGUUGGCAAGGGGUGGGGAAGGCAGACCAAAGCCCACACCGCAUCCCAGCAACCAGCAGCUCACAACAAGGCCCCGGCGUGCUCUGGGGAGGGUGGGGCCCAGGCCAGGUCUCCUGAGCUGGUGGCCAAGGCCUUGAGGUUGGGGAGACCCUGCAUUCCUGCUCAGGACCCCUGCCUGGGAACAACCCUUUAACCUUUUUAGUUCUGUGUUGGGGUGCUGCCACCUCUGAAACAUCUGGGUCUUGUGAAAAGGCAAAUCUAGGCCCACCACAGACCUGCUUGGAAGGGGCCGAGGAAGAACUGUGGCUUAGCCGCGUCUCCAGGGCUCCUGAUGUCCCUGGUCCCUCCCCCUGCCAGGGUGGGGCUGGCUGCUGCCCCACUCCACAGAGAUUUCCCCCACCUCCUUGGAA